UUCGAUUAGAGUUUGAUCAUGGCUCAGAACGAACGCUGGCGGCGCGCCUAAUACAUGCAAGUCGAGCGAGAAGACGUAGCAAUACGUUUGUAAAGCGGCGAACGGGUGAGGAAUACAUGGGUAACCUACCCUCGAGUGGGGAAUAACUAGCCGAAAGGUUAGCUAAUACCGCAUACGACUCCUGGUCCGCGGAUUGGGAGAGAAAGCGAUACCGCGGGUAUCGCGCUCUUGGAUGGGCUCAUGUCCUAUCAGCUUGUUGGUGAGGUAACGGCUCACCAAGGCUUCGACGGGUAGCUGGUCUGAGAGGACGAUCAGCCACACUGGCACUGCGACACGGGCCAGACUCCUACGGGAGGCAGCAGUAAGGAAUAUUGCGCAAUGGGCGACAGCCUGACGCAGCGACGCCGCGUGGGGGAUGAAGGUCUUCGGAUUGUAAACCCCUUUCGGCAGGGAAGAUGGAACGGGUAACCGUUCGGACGGUACCUGCAGAAGCAGCCACGGCUAACUUCGUGCCAGCAGCCGCGGUAAUACGAAGGUGGCAAGCGUUGUUCGGAUUUACUGGACGUACAGGGAGCGUAGGCGGUUGGGUAAGCCCUUCGUGAAAUCUCCGGGCCUAACCCGGAAAGUGCGGAGGGGACUGCUCGGCUAGAGGAUGGGAGAGGAGCGCGGAAUUCCCGGUGUAGCGGUGAAAUGCGUAGAGAUCGGGAGGAAGGCCGGUGGCGAAGGCGGCGCUCUGGAACAUUUCUGACGCUGAGGCUCGAAAGCGUGGGGAGCAAACAGGAUUAGAUACCCUGGUAGUCCACGCCUUAAACGAUGGAUACUAAGUGUCGGCGGGUUACCGCCGGUGCCGCAGCUAGCGCAGUAAGUAUCCCGCCUGGGAAGUACGGCCGCAAGGUUGAAACUCAAAGGAGUUGACGGGGGCCCGCACAAGCGGUGGAGCAUGUGGUUUAAUUCGACGCAACGCGAAGAACCUUACCCAGGCUGGACAUGCAGGUAGUAGGAGGGUGAAAGCCUAACGAGGUAGCAAUACCAGCCUGCUCAGGUGCUGCAUGGCUGUCGUCAGCUCGUGCCGUGAGGUGUUGGGUUAAGUCCCGCAACGAGCACAACCCCUGUCCGUUGUUGCCAGCUUCGGAGUAAUCCGGAGGGAACUCGACGGAGACCGCCAG
rnacentral:rRNA from 1 species